CCCAAUGUUUUCUUGUGAUUCAGCAUUUCUUUUUCCCUCCCACAUUUCGAAUAUGGGAUCUUUGGGCACGUUGACUGCCAUUAACAAUUCAAUAAUUUUGUGGUUGUCUUGUUGAAUUAUCAAUGAGAUUAAUUGCUAACUCAUUUGUGAAGCUAAUAGAGUGGGGAGUAGGAAGCAUAAGAUGGGAAAUUCAGGCAUAUUACCUGCUGCUCUC
rnacentral:lncRNA from 1 species